rnacentral:rRNA from 1 species
GGGGGGGAUAAGGGCCCUGGGGGCCAACCCUCCAGCCCCCCCCCCAGGGGGUUAAAAAAGACUUUCGGGUUGGAAAACCCCUUCCGUUUUAGGGAAAGGGGGGGUAGUAAAUAACUCCAUUAUUUUUCUUUUCGACAGAAGAAGCACCGGCGAACUCCGUGCCACCCCCCCCGGUAUUAAGAAGAGGAGGAGGGUUAAUCGGGAUUAAUGGGGGUAAAGCGCAAGCAGGGUGUUUUUUAAAUCAGAUGUGAAAGCCCGGGUUCAACAUCGGAAAAGCAUUUGAAAACUGGCAGACUAGAGUUCUGUAGAGGGGGGUAGAAUUUCAGAUGUAGCGGUGAAAUGCGUAGAGAUCUGAAGGAAUACCGGUGGCGAAGGCGGCCCCCUGGACAGAUACUGACACUCAGAUGCGAAAGCGUGGGGAGCAAACAGGAUUAGAUACCCUGGUAGUGCACGCCGUAAACGAUGUCUACUUGGAGGUUGUGGCCUUGAGCCGUGGCUUUCGGAGCUAACGCGUUAAGUAGACCGCCUGGGGAGUACGGUCGCAAGAUUAAAACUCAAAUGAAUUGACGGGGGCCCGCACAAGCGGUGGAGCAUGUGGUUUAAUUCGAUGCAACGCGAAGAACCUUACCUACUCUUGACAUCCAGAGAACUUUCCAGAGAUGGAUUGGUGCCUUCGGGAACUCUGAGACAGGUGCUGCAUGGCUGUCGUCAGCUCGUGUUGUGAAAUGUUGGGUUAAGUCCCGCAACGAGCGCAACCCUUAUCCUUGUUUGCCAGCGAGUAAUGUCGGGAACUCCAGGGAGACUGCCGGUGAUAAACCGGAGGAAGGUGGGGACGACGUCAAGUCAUCAUGGCCCUUACGAGUAGGGCUACACACGUGCUACAAUGGCGCAUACAGAGGGCGGCCAACUUGCGAAAGUGAGCGAAUCCCAAAAAGUGCGUCGUAGUCCGGAUUGGAGUCUGCAACUCGACUCCAUGAAGUCGGAAUCGCUAGUAAUCGUGGAUCAGAAUGCCACGGUGAAUACGUUCCCGGGCCUUGUACACACCGCCCGUCACACCAUGGGAGUGGGCUGCAAAAGAAGUAGGUAGUUUA